GAAACAGUGCACUCAGCUCCUUUUGUGAGGCUGUGGCUAAGGAAACAGCCAGCCAGCCUGAAAUGGACAAUAUAAAUGUAAUGUGGAGAAAAAAAGGAGACUUACACCUGGAUUGUCCAUGUUAGCCUCAUUUCUCAUUGCCUCCAGAGGGAGUUCUGUUCAGGGAGUGCAAAGCAGGCCUGGAGGGAGUGGAAGUUGUCCUGUUGGACCAGGAGAAGAUUUCCAGUGUCUGAUCCCCGGGAGCUGCAAUCAGCUGAGGUUUCUGCUUGCCACACGUCCCUGAAUGUGACAAGGAGAGAGGGUUUCACUCUCAGCUGGCGAGGAGCCCUCUGCACACCCAGACUGUGGUGCAUGGUCAGGAGGUCAUUUCUGCCCACACAGUGGCCCAGCGCUGUCCCAGCAUGGAGCACUGAGGGCUGCUGCAGAUGUACUGCACUCACAGGCAGGUUUCCUUUGGAUGGAAAAUGAACUGGAUCAAGCUCUUACAGUCUACAUAUAACAUAGCUCUGGCCAGAUGCUGCCUGUGACAGUUUUGCUGCUGGAAUUCAGCAGAGGCUGAUGCCUGUCCAUGACAGAGAGAGCUGUGCUAUCAAUGGGUGCUCCUGAUACCUGCACUCCUGCCUGGAACCUUCCUUGGUGUGAUGAGAAGCCCUGGACUGAGCUGCUCCCCUGUGCAGCUGUGUUCUCUGCAGUGACUGGAGCUUGGUGACCCAAGGAGAGAGCCUUCAAAACGAAGGUGCUCGGGUGGAGUUCAGAUGUCCCACAGAGGUCCAACCUAAGGAGCUGAAGUGACAGAGAAUGUGUCAUCC